CGAGCUCUUCCUCUCGUCUAAAACGUAUCAGAAUCCCAAUAAAUAAAUGCAAAUGAUAAAAAACUUUAAAACUAUUUUGAAAA
rnacentral:sRNA from 1 species